rnacentral:rRNA from 1 species
AGUGAACGCUGGCGGUAGGCCUAACACAUGCAAGUCGAACGGCCGCACAGUAAGAGCUUGCUCCUACGGGUGGCGACGGGCGGACGGGUGAGACAUACAUCGGAAUCUACUUUUUCUUGGGGGAUAACGUAGGGAAACUUACGCUAAUACCUCAUACGACCUACGGGUGAAAGCAGUGGAUCUUCGGACCUUGCCCGAUUGAUUUAGCCGAUGUCGGAUUAGCUAGUUGGCAGGGUAAAGGCCCACCAAGGCAACGAUCCGUAGCUGGUCUGAGAGGAUGAUCGGCCACACUGGAACUGAGACACGGUCCAGACUCCUACGGGAGGCAGCAGUAGGGAAUCUUGCACAAUGGGCGAAAGCCUGACCGAGCCAUGCCGCGUGGGUGAUGAAGGUCUUCGGGUUGUAAAGCUCUGUUGUUGGGAAAGAAAAGAAGCGGAAUAAACCCUGCAUGUUCUGACGGUACCCAAACAAUAAGCAACGGCUAACUUCGUG